rnacentral:rRNA from 1 species
AUGUAAUGUAAUUCCUACAAUGUUAAUGCAUUGGAUCCCAUUAGAACUAUGCAGUUAAGCACGCUUGGGCUAGAGUAGUAAUGAGAUGGGUGACCUCCUAGGAAGUCCUAGUGUUUUACAUA